AUUGAACGCUGGCGGCAGGCCUAACACAUGCAAGUCGAACGGUAACAGGAAGCAGCUUGCUGCUUCGCUGACGAGUGGCGGACGGGUGAGUAAUGUCUGGGAAACUGCCUGAUGGAGGGGGAUAACUACUGGAAACGGUAGCUAAUACCGCAUAACGUCGCAAGACCAAAGAGGGGGACCUUAGGGCCUCUUGCCAUCGGAUGUGCCCAGAUGGGAUUAGCUAGUAGGUGGGGUAACGGCUCACCUAGGCGACGAUCCCUAGCUGGUCUGAGAGGAUGACCAGCCACACUGGAACUGAGACACGGUCCAGACUCCUACGGGAGGCAGCAGUGGGGAAUAUUGCACAAUGGGCGCAAGCCUGAUGCAGCCAUGCCGCGUGUAUGAAGAAGGCCUUCGGGUUGUAAAGUACUGUCAGCGGGGAGGAAGGGAGUAAAGUUAAUACCUUCGCUCAUUGACGUUACCCGCAGAAGAAGCACCGGCUAACUCCGUG
rnacentral:rRNA from 1 species